UUGGGAUGGAAUUUUUUUUUUCUUUUCUAUCAAUCUGGUUAUACGACAUGUAGAUAAGCAUCGACGGAGUUGAUCUAAUUAGAGCAAGUCGAAUAAAAUGGUUUGGUCCUUUUAAAUAUUUUAAUCCGGUUAGAAAUUUAAACACAUGCAUUAACUUUGAUAAGUUUUCCUCAUGUAACCGCUGAUGGCACUAAACUAUUUUAAAGUAAAU
rnacentral:lncRNA from 1 species